UACGUAGGGGACAAGCGUUGUCCGGAAUGACUGGGCGUAAAGGGCGCGUAGGCGGUCUAUUAAGUCUGAUGUGAAAGGUACCGGCUCAACCGGUGAAGUGCAUUGGAAACUGGUAGACUUGAGUAUUGGAGAGGCAAGUGGAAUUCCUAGUGUAGCGGUGAAAUGCGUAGAUAUUAGGAGGAACACCAGUGGCGAAGGCGGCUUGCUGGACAAAUACUGACGCUGAGGUGCGAAAGCGUGGGGAGCGAACAGGAUUAGAUACCCUGGUAGUCCACGCCGUAAACGAUGAAUGCUAGGUGUUGGGGAAACUCAGUGCCGCAGUUAACACAAUAAGCAUUCCGCCUGGGGAGUACGACCGCAAGGUUGAA
rnacentral:rRNA from 1 species